rnacentral:lncRNA from 1 species
AUGAUUGUUUUUUUCCUAAAGCACAUUUUUCGGUGGUUUCGCUCUUUCCCGAGGAGGAGAGCCACAGCUACGUGCCCCUGUAACCAAGCUGGGCUGAACCACAUCCACAAGUCCUGUGGGCAUAGAGACUGGGAACACUUGGACCUCCUUCAGGACAGGCCCGAAGGCGCUAGAGGGCCGCAAGAGGAAAGACAACUGCCUCAAAGCACAGAUGAGCUCAUCGACUCACCUGGGCAGCCUGUUCAGCAUUCGCUCUGCCCCUGGCACAUCCAGAAGCCCCUGCACAAUGUGGGUACGAUGUGUUGAUGUCAACAGUUUUGCUGGAACCCACAGAUCCAUAAAGCUGCUAACAAGAACACGGAACAAGGUGUUAACGUGGGCGGUGGGUGGAGGUUUAGGACAGUAAGUGUCCUGAGAGAGGGGCGAGAACAGGAAGUCUCAGAGAGCCUCCCUGAGGAGCAGCCUUUGAGAGGGGCUUAGAUCACUCAUAGCCCCAAGUCGCACUUGGCCCAGUUCAAUUAUUAAAGCAUAACAUAGGGGCGCCUGGGUGGCUCAGUCAACUAAGCGGUUGCCUUCGGCUCGGGUCACAAUCCUGAGGUCCUGGGAUCGAGCCCCACAUUGGGCCCCCGGCUCAGCGGAGAGUCUGCUUCUCCCUCUCCCUCUACCUCUCUCUCCACUCAUGCUCUCUAUCUCUCUCCCUCUCAAAUAAAUAUAUAAAAUCUUUUUUAAAAAGAGAGAGAGGGACACCUGGGUCACUCAGUGGUUGAGUGUCUGCCUUCGACUCAGGGCAUGAUCCUGGGGUCCGGGAUCGGGUCCCACAUCGGGCUCCCCAUAGGGAGCCUGCUUCUCCCUCUGCCGGUGUCUCUGCCUCUCUCUCUCUCUCUCUCUCCCUGUGUCUCUCAUGAAUAAAUAAAUAAAAUCUUUAA